GGGAUUGGUGGGUUUUUUAAGCUUGGCGAUUGCUGUGUGUUUUGAGCCCAGGGAUUAAAGGAGUUUAGUAGGUUUUCAAACCUGGAAGUGGACUUAGACCUUUCACCCUUUCUCAGCACCUUGGCCACACCAGUCAAAAGGAAGACUGGGACAUACAGGUUUACCUCAGAGCCUCAUGCCCGUGCUUUAAUGGCUCAAUGUCGAAGAGGAGGAGAAAGUGGACUGAAGAUAAACUGUAGCCUCUCCUGUGUUGAGCACGGACAGACGGCCCUGGGGGAGCGCAGGAAGAGACUCCUGGAAAGGCUUGACUGGAAAAUUGAUUCCCAUCAGCAAGCAUCCCUUCACCACCCAGGUUUCUCAACUGCACCUAAAUUGCAAGCGAUUCAAAGCGAGUACAAAGGGGCCGUUGCUGCUGCCAAAUUGGCUUAUCCUUGGGAAAUAUGCAGAGAAGUGUUGGAGAGUUUUAGAACAUCCGUACUGAGUGAUCAGUUCGUAAACUUUCAAGUAGCCAUCAUUUGUUACAUUUAGACAUUAACUUUCAAGCGCCAUUUUUCAUCCGGAAUCAAAGAGGAUCACAACGUACUCCACUGUGGGCAGCUAGAGUCAUGAAGACAGUGAGCCAUAUUGGAUUUGGGCCUGGCCGCUUUGUGACUGCAUAGCUCAAGGUGGCUACGUGACUCUGGGCUGCAUGGCCACAGAGGUUCAACCUUGAAAUGACUGCCAUACAGACAUGAGAUUGUUGAACUAAAGCCUCUCCCAGGAAGACCCUGGGAGCAAUGACAGGAUGUUUCAGCCUGAGCAAAACACCGAUGUCCCUGAGCAGAUUCCUGAGAAGGGUUCGACCUUUUCAAAGAACAUGUCCCCGGAAGACUGUUGCCUCUUUGUUAUAGGAGGAUAUCUUGCAGUGUAGUGAUUCACCUUAUAUCCUUGGGCACUUCCCAAACUCCCCCACCCUAAGGUUCAGUUCCCGCUUCUAUUCCUGCCUCAGAGCUUUAAAUGCUGUACAUUUCUCUCAAUAAACGAGACCUUGACAACAGAA